rnacentral:tRNA from 1 species
GCAGAUAUAGCUCAGUGGUAGAGCCCAUUUCUAGCACCCAGGAGGCCCUGGGUUCAACUCCCAGUACUGCC